rnacentral:rRNA from 1 species
CCUACGGGAGGCAGCAGUAGGGAAUCUUUCACAAUGGGCGAAAGCCUGAUGGAGCAACGCCGCGUGCAGGAUGAAGGCCUUCGGGUUGUAAACUGCUUUUAUAAGCGAGAAAUAUGAUGGUAACUUAUGAAUAAGGAUCGGCUAACUACGUGCCAGCAGCCGCGGUCAUACGUAGGAUCCGAGCAUUAUCCGGAGUGACUGGGUGUAAAGAGUUGCGUAGGUGGCAUAAUAAGUAGCUAGUGAAAUCUGGUGGCUCAACCAUUCAGACUAUUAGCUAAACUGUUAAGCUCGAGACCGUUAGGGGUAACUGGAAUUUCUAGUGUAGGAGUGAAAUGCGUAGAUAUUAGAAGGAACACCAAUGGCGUAGGCAGGUUACUGGAACGGUUCUGACACUAAGGCACGAAAGCGUAGGGAGCAAACGGGAUUAGAUACCCUAGUAGUC